ACAGCAGCCGCCGCGGUAAUACGGAGGAUCCGAGCGUUAUCCGGAAUUAUUGGGUUUAAAGGGUGCGUAGGCGGAUAGAUAAGUCAGUGGUGAAAGACGGUGGCUCAACCAUCGCAGUGCCGUUGAUACUGUUUAUCUUGAAUAUGGAUGAGGUAGGCGGAAUGUGGCAAGUAGCGGUGAAAUGCAUAGAUAUGCCACAGAACACCGAUUGCGAAGGCAGCUUACCAAGGCAAAAUUGACGCUGAGGCACGAAAGCGUGGGGAUCGAACAGGAUUAGAUACCCGUGUAGUCCCUGUCUCUUAUAA
rnacentral:rRNA from 1 species